GGGGAAUUAGCUCAAAUGGUAGAGUGCUUGCUUAGCAUGCGAUCGGUAGUGGGAUCGAUGCCCACAUUCUCCA
rnacentral:tRNA from 1 species